AUGAGGGGAGGUCCAAUAGGUCCAUGGUGGGGAUGGAGCAACAAGGCCGGAGACCCAGGCGGCGGAUGCCUCAUGGGUAGAGGAGAGGUUGACAAUACGGACAAGGAGCAGCGGUGUCAUAUGGAUCUGCAGGGAGGCGUCUUCGAGGGAUGGCUGGUGUCAAUAUUUGUGUUGAUAUGCCCUACAUAUCGAGUUCAUCGUCCAAGCACCUUCUGCGGAAAGAAAGAAAAAGGCUUUCAACAAUUACAGUCAGGGCAGUCUGCUAAUUGUAUCAGCAACAUAUACUGCACCAUGGACCGCCGGGUCAAGAACUCCAGCUUGGAAAAGUACCUUUAG
rnacentral:rRNA from 1 species